rnacentral:lncRNA from 12 species
AAAGCACAGAGCCACUGGUUGUGUGAGCCUGUUCCCAAACUCGGGAAAUAAGGAACACACACACAGGAACUGGCUACCCAACAACUGCUAUAGCUACAGCAUGAUUCAGAUUGCAGCUGGACCAGAAUCCAUGAGUAAAUCACUGCCAGAAGGGCCAGGUGAUGACUGCAAGCCAGGCAAGAGGUGUGCAAGCUCCUUCUCCAAGGGGAGAGGAGCACUUGGCAUUGGCAAGGGCAGCGUUUGCACAGCCACUGGCUGAUGGCUUUCAGAAAUUCA